AUUCCUCACCAAACGUGCCCUAACUAGGCUCAAACCAACUAAAGUAUCCCUAAACAGGGCCUGUUCCAAAAUUAGUGUGGGAAACGAUCAUAGCCUCUUACUCGUGGACACUCGUUGGUACCCACAGUUUGCAGUUUUAAUUCCUGAUUCUGUCCGACCCCUUCCAAGAUCCUGCGUAUCAUCCACGCCUGAGGAUCGGAGUUUUUCUCAAGAGUUGAAAAAAGAUCCCUUGGCCAUCUUUCUCACGGUCACGGCCUCACGGGACGGGGAGCCGCCGUUGCCAAGAGAUACCAAGAGCUGGUGCCGGGAAAAGAAAAGAAGAAUAAAAGAGGGAAAGAAGGUCAUGGCCGUACCAGGGAGGCGAAACGGGCUGUUGGAGGAGGAAGAAGAAGAGGAGCAAGGGCUGUUUGUCGAAGAGGAAGAAGAGCAAGGUUGGGUGUUCGAUGUCGAACCUCCUCCACACCUUCGAGCUCUCUCUGAAGCAGCCCAGCUUGGCAACGUCGACGCCCUUCGCCAUGCUCUCGAUAAUCUGAGUGGCGGCAGUAUUAAUGAUCCGGUUGAAGAUGGUGAUACUGCUCUUCAUCUUGCCUGUCUCUAUGGCUACACAUCUUGUGUUCAGCUAUUGUUGGAAAGGGGAGCUAGCUUGGAGUCCAAAGACGAGGAAGGCACAAUCCCUCUUCAUGAUGCUUGUGCAGGAGGAUUUACUGAAAUUGUCCAACUUUUGAUUGAUGCGGCUGAUGGACCAGACUGUGUAAGGAGAAUGCUUGAUACAGUUGAUACUGAAGGAGAUACUCCUCUUCAUCAUGCAGCGAGAGGAGAACACAUGGAUGUUGUACGCUUGUUGGUGACUGCUGGAGCUUCUCCCAGAAAGCUAAACAGCUUUGGAAAGAUCCCAGCAGAGCUCCCAGAUCCAGGCACUGAAGUUAGGAGCUUUUUAGAAGCUGCUGUUGCUAGUGCUGCUGCCUCCCACUAGGAUUCUCUUGUUGUAAGCGCAGCUGUGGAUGUUCUUCACAUUUCUUUCUUUAUGAAGCUUGAGUUUGCUCGAGGGAACCCUGUAAUCUUUCACAUCCCCCUUCAAUUGACGAUGAUUCAAGCCCUGUUAUCUCAGCUCUAAGCUGCUUGACCUGUUUCUGCAAAUCCUGCACAUACACAACCGCAUCUCCUACAAUGGAGGCCUUGUCCAUCUGCAUAAUCACAGACAAAACUCAUCAUCACCUUCGCUCUCAACCUAACCUAAUCGUAAAUGGAAGAAUAAAAGAAAUCUGAUCAAUUAAUUAUAAAACACCUUUGUUAUGUUAGGAACCAAUGAGCGUAAUGCAUAGAGCUUCUCCUUCAUUCGGCCCCUUCUACGCCGCUCUGAGAUCAACGUCCUGGAACGGUCUGCCGAGUGCAUCGUCGUCCUUAUCAUCAUCGAAGCAGAUGAAUCAUCUCCCAUGUUCUCUUCAAUUUCUCCAGCAAAGGGCGGUUGAAGAGCUUGGACAAAGGAGUCAGGGUCGGAGAUGCUGGCAGUGUUGAAAUCGAACAUGUCUUCAGGUGUGGGGCAAUACCCGUGGACGUCAUCCAUGAACCCAAUCUCCCAAUUGAACUCGCCUUGGCUGUUGUUGGGAUGGUGGUAAUAACUAGCUAUGGGGUCCGCAAUCACGUUCUCUCCUCUGAGGACGUCGAUCAUUUGUGCGAAGCUGUUGUCGUCGGUGAAAUCAUUAAAACAGGGAUUGAUAUGUGCAUGGUUCUCCAUUUUCUUUCUU